CCCUUAGAUGUUCUGGGCUGCACGCGCGCUACACUGACGAAUGCAACGAGCUUAUAACCUUGGCCGAAAGGUCUGGGUAAUCUCCAAAUUUCGUCGUGAUGGGGAUAGAUUAUUGCAAUUAUUAAUCUUCAACGAGGAAUGCCUAGUAAGCGCAAGUCAUCAGCUUGCGUUGAUUACGUCCCUGCCCUUUGUACACACCGCCCGUCGCUCCUACCGAUUGAAUGGUCCGGUGAAGCGUUCGGACCGUGGCCUUUGGACGGUUCGCCGUCUGUUGGCUGCGGGAAGUUCGUUAAACCUUAUCAUUUAGAGGAAGGAGAAGUCGUAACA
rnacentral:rRNA from 1 species